ACGAACGCUGGCGGCGUGCCUAAUACAUGCAAGUCGAGCGGAAUGAUGAAGAAGCUUGCUUCUUCUGAUUUUAGCGGCGGACGGGUGAGUAACACGUGGGCAACCUACCUUGUAGAUUGGGAUAACUCCGGGAAACCGGGGCUAAUACCGAAUAAUCCAUUUUGCUUCAUGGCGAGAUGUUGAAAGACGGUUUCGGCUGUCACUACAAGAUGGGCCCGCGGCGCAUUAGCUAGUUGGUAGGGUAAUGGCCUACCAAGGCGACGAUGCGUAGCCGACCUGAGAGGGUGAUCGGCCACACUGGGACUGAGACAUGGCCCAGACUCCUACGGGAGGCAGCAGUAGGAAAUCUUCCACAAUGGACGAAAGUCUGAUGGAGCAACGCCGCGUGAGUGAAGAAGGUUUUCGGAUCGUAAAACUCUGUUGUAAGGGAAGAACACGUACGAGAGUAACUGCUCGUACCUUGACGGUACCUUAUUAGAAAGCCACGGCUAACUACGUG
rnacentral:rRNA from 1 species